ACAUUCAGCCAGGGCGAUAAAAAGCUCUCGAGUCUUUGUGCGCAAACCUCUUUCGUUUUGGUAGUAAACUGUGAGUCCUCGCUUGCGAUUUGGGUCCACGGGUGAGGCGUACUGCGUGCUAGCGUCGUAUGAACAGCUGAUAGUUCGUCGAAUUGUUCUCUCUCGCUGAGUUCAGGAUGAGUGGAAUUGUUUACGAAUUUUGUCGUCGAUGCCGUCGGUGCAGAAAAUCGUGCAACUCUGGAUGGAUCCACGGGAGCGGGUAAGGAAUGUGGUUGCUAGGCAGUAAGUGGUAAUGCAAUAGCUCUUGUUUUCUCGUAGGGCGAGAUAACUAUACCGGCUGGCCAGAAUCCGUUUGCGGUAAGUGUAGCCGCAAAGUUUUUUUGAACGGAAAGUUUGAACGAGAUGUAACUUGUUCUUUUUCCCAACUUAGUCAUGAUGCUACAAGUAACAGCAGAUUCUGGGACAUUUUUUGACGUGAUAAACUUAACGACGUCAGCACAGGAUGUUGUAGGAGUGAAGUUCCGUACGCAGUAGGUUUUUUGCUACGUUGUCCGGAAGAAAAAGGCGCUAGCGCGUGAAUGUUCGGUGGAUAAAAUUGACCAGGGGGCUGCAUAAGCCAAUUAUUCGCCGGGUAGUUGGGCGGUUGCAUGUUGAACGGAUGCCACAUUGGCGGAUAGUAAAAGGUGCCUGAUUUGCGAUAAAGGGAACUGUAUUGACUUGUGUCAAAGGUGCAGUGUGGACGACCGAGUCUAUAGGGAGCUGAGCAGUUGGUACAUUGAUCGACUGUUGGACAGCAUCGUUGAUUCGGUUCGCUGAGGCAGUGGCAGUUGGUUAGAAGAAGUAGAUGGCAAAGAAGAAGUGCGCUUGUUAUGCGAUCCGUUUGAAGGUUCGGCUUUGCGCUUCCGAGAAACUUGGUGGCCUUCGUCAUCGAGGUUGAUUCCACAAAACAGACGAUCCAUGGAAGCAUCUAAUGACUCGCGAACUCUGUCGUGGAUAACGGAGAAGGGGUCUUCUGGGCGAGCUGGUAACGAGGAACGAACCGACAUCAGCUCGACGUUGAUAGCGUUUGAUGUUGCUGAUACAGCAGCGAGUUCGGUUAUCAUUUUGGAGUUGGUAUCUAACUUCAUCGUC